rnacentral:rRNA from 1 species
CGAAGGGGCUAGCGUUGUUCGGAUUAACUGGGCGUAAAGGGUGCGUAGGCGGAUCUUUAAGUCAGGGGUGAAAUCCCAAGGCUCAACCUUGGAACUGCCUUUGAUACUGGGGAUCUUGAGUCCGGGAGAGGUGAGUGGAACUGCGAGUGUAGAGGUGAAAUUCGUAGAUAUUCGCAAGAACACCAGUGGCGAAGGCGGCUCACUGGCCCGGAACUGACGCUGAGGCACGAAAGCGUGGGGAGCAAACAGGAUU